rnacentral:rRNA from 1 species
AUUGAACGCUGGCGGCAUGCCUUACACAUGCAAGUCGAACGGCAGCGCGGACUUCGGUCUGGCGGCGAGUGGCGAACGGGUGAGUAACAUAUCGGAACGUGCCCUGGAGUGGGGGAUAACUAGUCGAAAGACUAGCUAAUACCGCAUACGAUCUACGGAUGAAAGUGGGGGAUCGCAAGACCUCAUGCUCGUGGAGCGGCCGAUAUCUGAUUAGCUAGUUGGUGGGGUAAAGGCCUACCAAGGAAUCGAUCAGUAGCUGGUCUGAGAGGACGACUAGCCACACUGGGACUGAGACACGGCCCAGACUCCUACGGGAGGCAGCAGUGGGGAAUUUUGGACAAUGGGGGCAACCCUGAUCCAGCAAUGCCGCGUGAGUGAAGAAGGCCUUCGGGUUGUAAAGCUCUUUAGUCAGGGAAGAAACGGUCCGGGCUAAUAUCCUGGGCUAAUGACGGUACCUGAAGAAUAAGCACCGGCUAACUACGUGCCAGCCGCCGCCGUAAGAC